CGGUCUGUCAAGUCGGAUGUGAAAUCCCCGGGCUCAACCUGGGAACUGCAUUCGAAACUGGCAGGCUUGAGUCUUGUAGAGGGGGGUAGAAUUCCAGGUGUAGCGGUGAAAUGCGUAGAGAUCUGGAGGAAUACCGGUGGCGAAGGCGGCCCCCUGGACAAAGACUGACGCUCAGGUGCGAAAGCGUGGGGAGCAAACAGGAUUAGAUACCCUGGUAGUCCACGCCGUAAACGAUGUCUACUUGGAGGUUGUGCCCUUGAGGCGUGGCUUCCGGAGCUAACGCGUUAAGUAGACCGCCUGGGGAGUACGGCCGCAAGGUUAAAACUCAAAUGAAUUGACGGGGGCCCGCACAAGCGGUGGAGCAUGUGGUUUAAUUCGAUGCAACGCGAAGAACCUUACCUGGUCUUGACAUCCACGGAAGUUUUCAGAGA
rnacentral:rRNA from 1 species